rnacentral:misc_RNA from 1 species
UUGUUCUCAUCAGUUCAGACGUAAGCAAUGUCAGUGAAAACAAGAUCUUAAGACAAAGAUUGAUUAGAAUGAAUGCAUUAAAUACAAAAUUUGCCAGCAGCACAACAGUGGCAUAAGAACCCAGUAGCAACUCAAGAGCACGAUUGGCAUUCUCUGGGCCAAUAAAAUUCUUAGCAAUUAAGCUAUCUGAUUUUAGUUUGUCUAAAGACAACUCUGUCCAACAUUGUAGACCCAC